rnacentral:rRNA from 1 species
GACGAACGCUGGCGGCGUGCUUAACACAUGCAAGUCGAACGGAAAGGCCCUGCUUUUGUGGGGUGCUCGAGUGGCGAACGGGUGAGUAACACGUGAGUAACCUGCCCUUGACUUUGGGAUAACUUCAGGAAACUGGGGCUAAUACAGGAUAGGAGACCCUGCUGCAUGGUGGGGGUUGGAAAGUUUCGGCGGUUGGGGCUGGACUGGCGGAUGAUCAGCUUGUUGGUGGGGUAGUGGCUUACCAAGGCUUUGACUGGUAGCCGGCCUGGGAGGGUGACCGGCCACAUUGGGACUGCGGUACGGCCCAGUCUGCUACGGGAGGCAGCAGUGGGGAACAUUGCACAAUGGGCGCACGCCUGAUGCAGCAACGCCGCGUUCGUGAUGACGGCCUUCGGGUUGUAAACCGCUUUCGCCUGUGACGAAGCGUGAGUGACGGUAAUGGGUAAAGAAGCACCGGCUAACUUCGUG